GAUGAACGCUGGCGGCGUGCUUAACACAUGCAAGUCGAACGAAGCACUUUGAUCGAUUUCUUCGGAAUGAAGUUUUAGUGACUGAGUGGCGGACAGGUGAGUAACGCGUGGGUAACCUGCCUCACACAGGGGGAUAACAGUUGGAAACGGAUGCUAAUACAGCAUAAGCGCACAGUACCGCAUGGUACGGUGUGAACAACACCGGUGGUGUGAGAUGGACCCGCGUCUGAUUAGCUAGGUGGCAGGGCAGCGGCCUACCAAGGCGACGAUCAGUAGCCGACCUGAGAGGGUGACCGGCCACAUUGGGACUGAGACACGGCCCAAACUCCUAUGGGAGGCAGCAGUGGGGAAUAUUGCACAAUGGGGGAAACCCUGAUGCAGCGACGCCGCGUGAGCGAAGAAGUAUUUCGGUAUGUAAAGCUCUAUCAGCAGGGAAGAAAAAAUGACGGUACCUGACUAAGAAGCACCGGCUAAAUACGUGCCAGCCGCCGCAGUAA
rnacentral:rRNA from 1 species